rnacentral:rRNA from 1 species
CACGUAGGGGGCAAGCGUUGUCCGGAUUUAUUGGGCGUAAAGAGCUCGUAGGUGGUUCGGUAAGUCGGGUGUUAAACCCCCAGGCUCAACCUGGGGACGCCACUCGAUACUGCUGUGACUAGAGUCCGGUAGGGGAGCGUGGAAUUCCUGGUGUAGCGGUGAAAUGCGCAGAUAUCAGGAGGAACACCGGUGGCGAAGGCGGUGCUCUGGGCCGAAACUGACGCUGAGGAGCGAAAGCGUGGGUAGCAAACAGG